UUUCUCCCUGUCAAAAUGUAUUAAUUGGCUGCUAUAUGAAACAUGUCUAUUUUUUCUUCUAAUUAUUUCUAUUUUAACUAAUAUCUUACUUAUUUUUGAAGUACAUGAUGAUUUGUUGUUGACUUGCAUACAAAAGAAGAGAAGUUUAUUUACUAUGUGCAGUUCUUGUUUGUGUGAACUCUUAAUCAUUUUCUAUUUAUUUCAGGUUCUUCAUAACAUUACUGUUGCAGAAUACUUUCACUGGAAUAUGCUACGAAACCUUGCUGGCAUCUAUUAUGAACAAAGUCAACUUGACAUGGCAAUUCUGCAUUACAAGCAAGCUAUCAAUUGCGAUUCUACCUUUAUUGAAGCUUACAAUAAUCUGGGGAAUGCUCUCAAAGACGUUGGACAUG